GCGCCACUAGCUCAGCUGGAUAGAGCGUCGGCCUCCGGAGCCGAAGGUCGCAGGUUCGAAUCCUGCGUGGCGCGCCA
rnacentral:tRNA from 1 species